rnacentral:lncRNA from 1 species
UAGUUCAGGUGUGCAGGUAACAAAUUCUCUCAGCUUCUUCAUUUUUGAAAAAAUUUUGCUGGGUGUAUAGAAUUCUAGGAUGUUUGUCUUUUAGGAUUGAAUNAGUUAUUAUUUUUAUGGGCACACCUGUGGCAUAUGGACAUUCCUGGGCCAGGGAUUGAAUCCAAGCCGAAGCUUGGACCUACACCACAGUGCAGCAAUCCCUGCUGAUCCUUUAACUCACUGUGCCAGGCCAGAGAUUGAAGGUGCACUUCUGAAGCAACCCGAGCUGCUGCAGUCAGAUUCUUAACCCACUGUACCACAGUGGGAACUUCUUCUUCUUUUUUUUUUUUUUUGCUUUUUAGGGUCGUACCCGCAGCAUAUGGAGGUUCCAAGGCUAGGGGUCGAAUUGGAGCUACAACUGCCAGCCUACGCCACAACCACAGGAACAUCAGAUCCGAGCCCCGUCUGCAACCCACAGCUCAUGGCAAUGCUGGAUCAGGAUCGUUAACCCAAUGAGCAAGGCCAGGGAUUUGACCUGCAAUCUUAUGGUUCCUAGAUGGAUUCAUUUCUGCUGUGCCACAACAGGAACUCCCACAGUGGGAACUCUUGCAUCGGGUUUUGUUUGUUUGUUUGUUUGUUUAAUGAGAAAUAUGCUUUAAUUUUUAUCAUUUUUCCUUUGUAUGGAAUGUUUCUUUUUUCUCUGGUUGCCUCUAAGAUUUUCUUCUUGUCUGUGUUUUCCAGCAGUAUAAUGAGAAUACGCCUAUGUGUGUUUUUCUUUGUAUUCUGAUUGGGCUUCUCUAAACAUUUAGGUUGGUGAUUUGUUGUCAUUCAUUAAUUUUGGAAAAUUCUCAGCAGUUAUCUUCUCAGAUCUUCUGACAUUUCCCCUCUAUUCUCCUUCUUAACAGUUGCACGUAUAUCUUUGUGGAUUGUCCCACAGCUCUUAGAUGCUCUGCUUUAUUUUUUUCCACUUUUUUUUUCCUCUUUUUUCUCUACCUCAUCUCUCCCCAGAGGAGCUUGUUAACAUUGUGAAAUUCAGCAUUUUAUUUUGAAAAAUUUCUUUGGGCCUGUGUUCAAGUUCAUUAAUUCCUUUUUUUUUUUUUUCAAGUAUACUAAUUUUUUCUUUUGUGUCUCGUCUGCUGAUAAGCCAUUUGAAGAACUUACUCAUCUAGGAUUGCAUGCUGUUCAUGUCUAGUCAAUGAACUUAUUUUUUUUAAUAGUUUCCAUCUCGCUGCUGAAAUUUCCUGUUCAUGCAUGACAUUCACAUUUCCUCCUAAACCCUUCAAUAGAUUCGUCAUAGUAUUUUCAGGUCCCUCUCUCAUUGUUUCAACUUCUGGGCUAUCUCAGUCUGGUUUUGUUUAGUGUUACAUUUCUUCAAAAUGGAUCUUGCUCUUUUGCCUUAUAAGUUUGACUUGAUGCCACACAUUGUUUGUAAAGGAAAAAUAGUGACUGAGUUAAACAGUAUUUACUCCUGAAAGUGGGCAUGCCUCUUCAUCUGUCAGGCCACUUGGGAGGGGCGAGGGAGGUUGACUAAAUCUAGUUAGUAGUUGAGCUAAGUUUGGUUUUGAUGUUGCUAUAGUUAACAUUAUUCUAUUGCAGACUUCACACUCCUCCAUGCUGCUGCUGUCUUGCUUUAGGGAGAGGCCUGGAGUGCUGGUGGGGUUUUUUUCAGUGUUCCUGCUCCCCCUGUCCCUUUCUGCACUUGGCCAUGGAGGGCAGGGAGGGAGGUGUCUCUCUCCAGCUUCUUGCCCAUCUCCCAGAAGUAAUGUACCAUUGCUCAUAGUUGGGGCAGGAUGAUUUUUUUUUUUUUUUAAAGAAACUUUCUUCUUCCAGACUGUCUUAUGUAGGCCCUGGGGGUGUUUAUCCACCGUUCUGUCCCUUUGUCCUGUGGCAGCUCAUCUUUGCAUUGUAACUUGGAAAAGAACAAGUUUUCUGUCCCUACUGUUAGAAGACAGUCUUUGCUUAGUCUUUGCUUUCUAUCAGCACAGAAUCCUGAGCCUGGCUGGGUUUCUGGUCCAAGGAUCAUAGUUUGAAUAACAAGGUUCAAGACUCGAAGUUCCCACAUCUUUGCUGCACACUAGACUCACCUGAAGAGCUUUAAAAAACAAAUCUCAAGGCUUGGAGGUGGGAGCCAGACAUUGAUAGUUUUUAAACAUCCUCAGGGGAUUCCAUCUGCAGCAAAUUGUGAACUGUUGUUCUAGACUAGGAGCUAGUAAACUCUGGCCUACAGGUGAAACCCUGUGCUCUUGUAAACAAAACUUCAUUGGAACAGAGCCACAC